rnacentral:rRNA from 1 species
GACGAACGCUGGCGGCGUGCUUAACACAUGCAAGUCGAACGGAAAGGCCCUGCUUUUGUGGGGUGCUCGAGUGGCGAACGGGUGAGUAACACGUGAGUAACCUGCCCUUGACUUUGGGAUAACUUCAGGAAACUGGGGCUAAUACCGGAUAGGAGCUCCUGCUGCAUGGGGGGGGUUGGAAAGUUUCGGCGGUUGGGGAUGGACUCGCGGCUUAUCAGCUUGUUGGUGGGGUAGUGGCUUACCAAGGCUUUGACGGGUAGCCGGCCUGGGAGGGUGACCGGCGACAUUGGGACUGAGAUACGGCCCAGACUCCUACGGGAGGCAGCAGUGGGGAAUAUUGCACAAUGGGCGGAAGCCUGAUGCAGCAACGCCGCGUGCGGGAUGACGGCCUUCGUGUUGUAAACCGCUUUCGCCUGUGACGAAGCGUGAGUGACGGUAAUGGGUAAAGAAGCACCGGCUAACUACGUG